ensembl:lncRNA
AUUAGGAAGCCUGGGAAAGAUCCUAGUAAGCCAAUAAAUUACAGACCCAUAGCUCGUACGUCACAUAUAGGUAAAAUAAUGGAGAGAAUGAUUAAUGAAAGGCUCAUGCACUAUAUUGAAAAGAGGGGACUGGUGACUAAGCAUCAAAGUGGAUUUAGAAGAGGUAGGAGCACAAUGGAUCCAGUAUUGUGUUUAGAAGAUGACAUCAGGAAAGCACAGGUAAAUAAAGAAACGGUAGCUACAGUGUUCUUUGACGUCGAAAAAGCAUAUGACAUGUUAUGGAGAGAAGGUUUGCUGAUCAAGAUGCAUCGAAUGGGAAUUGAGGGAAACCUAUUUAACUGGGUUAUGGAUUUUCUAAGAGAGCGGGUUAUCCAGGUUAAAAUUGGGUCGGAGGUGUCAGAAAGUCAUGAGGUAGAGAAUGGUACACCGCAGGGGAGUGUUAUAAGUCCUACACUAUUCACAAUAAUGAUAAAUGAUAUAUUUGAAAAUAUAGCGAUAGGAAUGGGAAGAUCUCUGUUUGCAGAUGAUGGGGCAUUAUGGAAGAAGGGAGGCAACAUAGACCAUUUAGUGAAGAAGCUGCAGGAAGGGAUCGACCAAGUGGAAACAUGGGGAGCAGAAUGGGGUUUUAAAUUCUCAGUGGAAGAAAGUAAAGUAAUGUUCUUCUCAAAAAAGAAAAUCAGUGAAAAUAAAAAGUUAAACUUAUACGGAAAGAACUUAGACAGAGUAAACAGCUUUCCAUUCUUGGGGUUGAUUUUUGAUUCUAGAUUAACGUGGAGAGAACAUGUGAAGAGAAUAGUAGAAAAAAGUAAGGGAGCAUUAAGAAUUUGUCUAGGAGCAAUGACAACAGCACCAGUAUGCUCCCUUCAGGUGGAAGCAGGAGAAAUGCCAUUAUGGAUUAGAAGGAAACAGCUUAUAGCCAACUACUGGACAAACCUAAAAGGGCACAGUGAGGAUCACCCAACAAAGAGAGGAUUGGAGAUGUGUUGGGAAAAAGGGAAAGAACAAAAAACAAGCUUUGGGUGGGUCAGUGAGGGUUUAGCACAACAACUAAAGAUACAGCAGAGAGAAUUCAGCCCAACACUUCUGUGGACAACAAGACCAGAAUGGAUGUUAGAAGAAUCAAGUGUAGAUCUAGAAAUAUGGAAUAUCAAGAGAAGAAAUAAGACAGCAGAUCUAGUACAGGAAUUUUAUAACUAUGUAGAUGAAAAGUAUGGGGAAUAUGUGUACACAGAUGGAUCAAAAGAGCCGAUAACAGGAGCAACAGGUGCAGCAGUGGUGAUUCCCAGCCAUCAUACCACAAUAUCAAAGAGAACAUCAGGUCAUUUAAGCAUAUAUGCAGUAGAGCUAUGUGCAAUAUUACUAGUAAUAGAAUGGAUGGAGGACAAGGUGGACAAAAAGAUAGUCAUAUGUAGUGAUUCAGUUUCAUCAAUACUGAGCAUUAAAAACAGGACAGGUAAAACACAUCAAGAAAUACGAUAUGAAAUACUCGUAAAAACAUCCAGAUUAAUACAGCAGGGGAGGGAAAUAACGUUCAUGUGGGUUCCAGCGCAUUCAGGAAUACAAGGAAAUGAAAAAGCAGACAAAACUGCUAAGGAGGCAGUGAAGAAAGAAGAGGUGGAAAUGAAAGUAAAAUGAUCAAAAGCAGAGGGGAAAAGUUUAGUAUGGAAGGAAAUAAAUAAUCAGUGGAGUCAACAUUGGAAGCAGGAGGAAAAAGGGAGACAUCUAUAUAAAUUACAAAGUGUAGUAGGAGAUAUAGGAUGUUAUGGAGAUAAUAGAACAGAACAAGUAAUCAUGAGCAGAAUGAGAAUAGGGCACAGUAAAUUGAACAGCACACUUAGUCUGAUAGGGAAGCAUACAACGGGUUUGUGUAACUGUGGGGAGAGGGAGACAGUAGAACAUGUGGUGAUGGCAUGUCCUGGUUAUGAACGGGAGAGGGAGAUGAUGGCUACAGGGUUGUGGAAGGUGGGAGUAAGGGAAAUUAACUUUAAUAGUAUUAUAGAAUGUGGAAAAUCUAGAGAAGGGAGGAGAAUCA